CUCAUAUAAUUCGAUUAAAUUAAUUAUUUUUUCUUUGGACCACUUUUCACUCAUUUUGUGACUUGGUAGUCGGUAUAUUAUUUAAAACUAUAUAAAUAAAAAAUACCACUCUCCGUGUGUGGUGCCACGCGCAGACUGAUUUGAAUUUAUAGAAAUUAUACAUCAGUUAUAACAAAAUAUGUAUUUAUAAACGCGAUAUUAUGACAUUAUCUCUCUAUAUAGUCUGGAA